AUAACACAACCACAAACCCAACCUUUUGUCGCCUAAUAAUCUUCACGAAAGCCAGGUCCAGAAUACCAUCAACGCAGAUCGUCAGAUUAGAAGGCACCAAAUUUUCCAGAUACCCGGAAGCACAGCAUGCCCAACAGUCAGAUCCAUCUCCCAUGGAGAGGCCAAUCACCAUCGGUUCGAACAUCUGCCAACACACGCCAAAAAUAAAUAUCGGAGACCAGCAGAUGCAAAAACAAAUACAGAUCUAAUCCAUAUUAACCGAACACAAAUUCUGGGCAGCAGUCAUGAACAGAAUACGAACUCUAUACCUCCACUGCCGGUUAUCUCCAACCAAACA
rnacentral:misc_RNA from 1 species